rnacentral:rRNA from 1 species
GCUAAGAAUAUUCCGCAAUGGAGGAAACUCUGACGGAGCGACGCCGCGUGGAUGAUGAAGGUCGGAAGAUUGUAAAAUCCUUUUAUGACUGAGGAAUAAGCCGGGUGAGAGAAACGCCUGGUGGUGACUGUAGGUCAUGAAUAAGCAACGGCUAAUUACGUGCCAGCAGCCGCGGUAACACGUAAGUUGCGAGCGUUGUUCGGAAUUAUUGGGCGUAAAGGGCAUGUAGGCGGUAUUGCAAGCCUGGUGUGAAAGGCAGGGGCUCAACCUCUGGACUGCGCUGGGAACUGCGAUACUAGAGUCGCUGAGGGGCAAUCAGAAUUCCAGGUGUAGGGGUGAAAUCUGUAGAUAUCUGGAAGAAUACCAAUGGCGAAGGCAGGUUGCCAGCAGAUGACUGACGCUGAGGUGCGAAGGUGCGGGGAGCAAACAGGAUUAGAAACCCUAGUAGUCC